rnacentral:rRNA from 1 species
GAUGAACGCUGGCGGCGUGCUUAACACAUGCAAGUCGAACGGGAAUUACUUUAUUGAAACUUCGGUCGAUUUAAUUUAAUUCUAGUGGCGGACGGGUGAGUAACGCGUGGGUAACCUGCCUUAUACAGGGGGAUAACAGUCAGAAAUGGCUGCUAAUACCGCAUAAGCGCACAGAGCUGCAUGGCUCAGUGUGAAAAACUCCGGUGGUAUAAGAUGGACCCGCGUUGGAUUAGCUUGUUGGUGAGGUAACGGCCCACCAAGGCGACGAUCCAUAGCCGGCCUGAGAGGGUGAACGGCCACAUUGGGACUGAGACACGGCCCAGACUCCUACGGGAGGCAGCAGUGGGGAAUAUUGCACAAUGGGGGAAACCCUGAUGCAGCGACGCCGCGUGAAGGAAGAAGUAUCUCGGUAUGUAAACUUCUAUCAGCAGGGAAGAUAGUGACGGUA